rnacentral:rRNA from 1 species
AUGAGUGCAACCACUUUCCGAUAUCUUAUAUCUUUGGCAGUGCAAAAUUGUCUAUCUAUGCAGUUGAUGGACGUAGUGACCGCUUACCUUUAUGGUUCACUUGAUUCGGACAUAUACAUGAAGGUUCCUGAUGGAGUCCCAAUCCCGAAUCCAAACGCAAAACGCAACGCAUAUUGUGUAAAACUAAAUAAGUCUUUAUACGGCUUAAAACAGUCGGGUCGCAUGUGGUACAACCGACUUAGUGAGUUCCUUUUGAAAAAAGGAUACUCCAAUAAUGAUGAUUGCCCAUGUGUUUUCAUAAAAAAGUCCACAACUGGAUUUUGCAUUAUUUCUGUGUAUGUUGAUGAUCUGAACAUCAUCGGAACCACACAAGAUAUUGAUGAAGCACGCAAUCACCUAAAGACGGAAUUUGAGAUGAAGGAUUUGGGUAAAACCAAAUAUUGCUUAGGAUUACAACUUGAGCACCUUCCCUCGGGUAUUUUGGUUCAUCAAACCGCAUAUAUCCAGAAAAUAUUGGAGAAAUUCAAUAUGGAAAAAUCCUAUCCAUCCAAAACUCCUAUGGUAGUUCGAUCUCUAGACGUAGAGAAAGAUCAAUUUAGACCAAUGGAUAAUGGAGAAGAGAUAUUAGGACCUGAAGUUCCAUAUCUCAGUGCCAUUGGAGCACUCAUGUAUCUUGCAAAUUGCACCAGGCCUGAUAUUGCAUUUGCAGUGAAUUUACUAGCUAGACAUAGCGCAGCUCCUACUAAACGCCAUUGGACAGGAGUUAAGAAUAUCUUUCGAUAUCUCCAAGGCACAAAGGAUCUUGGCCUAUUCUUUCAAUUUCAGAGAAAUUUGGACAUUGAUAUGAUUGGGUAUGCUGAUGCUGGCUACUUAUCUGACCCCCACAAUGCCAGAUCACAAACCGGUUUUGUGUUCCUACAUGGUGGGACAACCAUAUCAUGGAAGUCUUCCAAACAGACUCUAGUGGCUACAUCCACCAAUCAUUCUGAAAUAAUCUCUUUACUUAAGGCAACACAUGAAUGUGUAUGGCUUCGCAGAAUGAUAAACCACAUACAAAAAUCACGUGGUAAAGGUUCUAUCGAAUCUCCAACCAUUAUCUACGAAGAUAAUGCAGCUUGUGUUGCUCAAAUGCAAACAGGUUACAUAAAGAGCAAUAUCACUAAGCAUAUUUCUCCUAAAUUAUUUUUUCCCCAUCAAUUACAAAAGAAAGGGAAGAUAAACAUUUUGCAAGUCAAAUCAUGCGAUAAUCUAGCUGAUCUAUUCACAAAGUCGCUCCCAGCUUCAACAUUUGAAAAAUAUGUUCAUGGGAUUGGUAUGCGACGACUUCGAGAUUUGCAAAGAUCAAGGGGAGAGCCUCUCUGA